AGUUCAUUCAUGUUUUAACUUUGAUACUUGAAACAUGGCUAAGAUUUUUUUGCUGGUUGUGGCUCUGGCCAUUUUUCAAUUGAAUACAUCAGUUAAUGGUCAAGUUAUUGGAGGUAUUGCCAAAGGAGUAACAAAUGUUGCGAGUAGUAUCAGCAACGUAUUUUCAUCAGCAGUAAGCAGAGUAUUCAACGCCGUUAGGAACGUAUAUGAUUACAUUCUCAAUCUUUCUCUUCCUGUCUACGCUGGUCGAUUGCUCUUGCAGGCUCUUGGAUUUCUUUUAGCGGUACCUGUAAUGGCAGUUCUUAUUCCAGUCCUUUUGCCAAUGGGCAUAUUCCUUGAACUGUUCAUGUAUGUUAUUUACAGACCAUAAAUGUCUUCAUGUCAAUGUUAAUUUACCAAAAAGAUAAAUGUAUCUUGGUUUAAUUAUAUAUUAUGAAUCUAAUAAAAAACUAUUUGUGUUGAAUUAAAGAAAAAA